rnacentral:rRNA from 1 species
GACGAACGCUGGCGGCGUGCUUAACACAUGCAAGUCGAACGGAAAGGCCCUGCUAUUGUGGGGUGCUCGAGUGGCGAACGGGUGAGUAACACGUGAGUAACCUGCCCUUGACUUUGGGAUAACUUCAGGAAACUGGGGCUAAUACCGGAUAGGAGCUCCUGCUGCAUGGUGGGGGUUGGAAAGUUUCGGCGGUUGGGGAUGGACUCGCGGCUUAUCGGCUUGUUGGUGGGGUAGUGGCUUACCAAGGCUUUGACGGGUAGCCGGCCUGAGAGGGUGACCGGCCACAUUGGGACUGAGAUACGGACCAGACUCCUACGGGAGGCAGCAGUGGGGAAUAUUGCACAAUGGGCGGAAGCCUGAUGCAGCAACGCCGCGUGCGGGAUGACGGCCUUCGGGUUGUAAACCGCUUUCGCCUGUGACGAAGCGUGAGUGACGGUAAUGGGUAAAGAAGCACCGGCUAACUACGUG